rnacentral:rRNA from 1 species
AUUGAACGCUGGCGGCAGGCCUAACACAUGCAAGUCGAGCGGAUGAAGGGAGCUUGCUCCUGGAUUCAGCGGCGGACGGGUUAGUAAUGCCUAGGAAUCUGCCUGGUAGUGGGGGAUAACGUCCGGAAACGGGCGCUAAUCCCGCAUACGUCCUGAGGGAGAAAGUGGGGGAUCUUCGGACCUCACGCUAUCAGAUGAGCCUAGGUCGGAUUAGCUAGUUGGUGGGGUAAAGGCCUACCAAGGCGACGAUCCGUAACUGGUCUGAGAGGAUGAUCAGUCACACUGGAACUGAGACACGGUCCAGACUCCUACGGGAGGCAGCAGUGGGGAAUAUUGGACAAUGGGCGAAAGCCUGAUCCAGCCAUGCCGCGUGUGUGAAGAAGGUCUUCGGAUUGGAAAGCACUUUAAGUUGGGAGGAAGGGCAGUAAGUUAAUACCUUGCUGUUUUGACGUUACCAACAGAAUAAGCACCGGCUAACUUCGUG